UCAGAUAGUCGCGUGUAAAACUCGCAAGGGUCUACAUGAGGAAAGUCCGGGCUCCAUAGAGCAAUGAUGCUGGAUAACGUCCAGUGAGGGAAACCUUAAGGAAAGUGCAACAGAAAAUAAACGCCUUUGUUAUACAAAGGUAAGUGUGAAAAGGUGAGGUAAGAGCUCACCGCCAAACUGGUGACAGUUUGGGUCAAUGUAAACCCCAUCUGGAGCAACACCUAAUAAAGAAGGCUAAGGCUGCUCGCCAUCUUCUUGAAUUGGUGGCUUGAGGCAUAUAGUAAUAUAUGUCCUAGAUAAAUGACUGUCUAAUACAGAACCCGGCUUAUAGAUAUGCUU
rnacentral:RNase_P_RNA from 1 species